CGUGCCGCUGCGCGUGACAUCGCGCAAGAUGGCUUUGCGAAUCUAUUGCUUUCACCUGCGGGGUUCAUGCAGUAGGCACAUACGAGUAGUCUUAUUGUGAAUUGUCGCGUCGUUGCUUGCUCGGCUUUAACCUGUGCCAUCGCAGCCAGUUUCGUGUCGGUCUCAACAAGUCUCAACUGGCGGCAAUAGAAUCCUGUUCACAAUUAUUUGCGCGUUUAAUAUCCAUAAAUGUUUUUUUUUUGCUCGCGUUAGAUAUUUAUAUUCCAAAUUACAACAAUGUUACGGUUUUAUGAUCGGUUAUUGUGAGACGUUGUCGGUCGCUGGAUAAAUCGGCAACAUAUUGCAGCGAUGUUGCUUCCCGUCAUUGGGAGGUCCCUUCGUGUUUGAUACUUGCCGUACCCGUGCAAUCCGAUAAGCGCUGAAUUGUGUUUGCCGUACUCGUGCAAUCUGAUGAGCGCUGAAUUGAUUUCUAUUUUACAAGUUGAAACUUGCAAAAUUUCGACGAAAAUUUCGUAAUUUUUGCAUUCGUGUUUUGGCGUGUCGAUCCUGACGUCGAACGUAUCGACGGACCACUUCGAGAACGCGUUCAAUAAGACAGUUAACUACUUCGAGUGCGUUAACUGAAGAAAGAAUAAUUGCCGGCCCCAACCUACAGCUGCGAUGUCUCUACGCUUCAUCCCCGAGUUUCUUAGGCACAUCAACAAUUUUCUUAGUGGGGAGAGUCCUUGUGGUGAGGGAAAUAAGGAUAAUAAAUAAUUUAAACAAUA